AGGCUGACUUAGUUAGUGAGGCUCUUGCAACACUCCUCAGCUUUGCUUUUGGGGCUGGCUGACCUGUGUGUUUAGCUCUUGUGUACCUACUCUCAGACCAGGUGGUGUCACAGGCUGGACUGUCCCUUUAACGACAAGCCUAGGCUAGUAAAGUCCUGCUCCAAAUCUCAGCUGCUCUUCAGUGACUCCUGAUUGAGAGGGCUGCAGGAUGUGCUUGAGGUGGGGCACAGAAGGACUUGGGGAGAGUGAAGCAAGAGGAGAAAAAGACUUGGGGCAUUGUUGUACUGGUCUGGUGCAGGCUGUUAAGGGCAUGUGAAGACCAUUUGUCAGGGGAAACUGAGAUAGUAGCCAUGUCCUGAUGAUGCAGCUGAUGGAAAGGAGGCUGCAUCUCCAUGGCAAUUCCUGGAGAGCCCUUAGGCAUGACUCAUGCUAGGUAA